ACAUCCUAUUGUUUUCUUUCUUAACUCAUGACAAUCAUGUCUUCCUCGCUGUAUCUUUUCCUACUGGUAGCUUUCUUGAGAGGAAUGCAGUCUGAAAUACAGCUUCUUCAGUCUGGUCCAGAAAUAAAAAGGCCUAGUGAAUUGAUACAAUUGACCUGCAAGACAUCUGGAUAUACCUUCACUGACUAUAGUUUGAGGUGGGUCAAACAGGCCCCAGGAAAAGGACUGAACUGGGUGGGCACUAUUAGGACAGACAACUUUAAUACAUUCUAUGCUGAAGCUUUGAAAGGUCGAGUCAUUAUCACUGUAGAUACUUCUAUCAGCACCACAUUUCUGCAGUUGACAAACCUGAACACUGAAGACACAGCUGUGUAUUACUGUGCAAGAGCCACAGUGGAGAAAACUAUAUUCAUGGCCACUCAUAAAUUCUCUGGAAGAGACCAGCUGCUCAACUAA